AUUGAACGCUGGCGGCAUGCCUUACACAUGCAAGUCGAACGGCAGCACGGGUGCUUGCGCUGGGGGGCGGGUGGCGGACGGGUGAGUAAUACAUCGGAGCAUGUCGGUGGGUGGGGGAUAGCCGGGCGAAAUGCGGAUUAAGCCCGCAUACUGUCUACGAAUGAGAGGGAGGGGGCAGCAAGGCUCGCCCUCGCGCGUUUGGCGAGGGCGAUGUCGGAUUAGGUAGUUGGUGGGGUAAAGGCCUACCAAGGCGACGAUCUGUAGCUGGUCUGAGAGGACGACCAGCCACACUGGGACUGAGACACGGCCCAGACUCCUACGGGAGGCAGCAGUGGGGAAUUUUGGACAAUGGGCGAAAGCCUGAUCCAGCAAUGCCGCGUGUGUGAAGAAGGCCUUCGGGUUGUAAAGCACUUUUGUCCGGAACGAAAAGCUUGGCCCUAAUACGGGCGGGGGAUGACGGUACCGGAAGAAUAAGCACCGGCUAACUACGUG
rnacentral:rRNA from 1 species